GAUGAACGCUGGCGGCGUGCCUAAUACAUGCAAGUCGAGCGAACGGACGAGAAGCUCGCUUCUCUGAUGUUAUCGGCGGACGGGUGAGUAACACGUGGAUAACCUACCUAUAAGACUGGGAUAACUUCGGGAAACCGGAGCUAAUACCGGAUAAUAUUUUGAACCGCAUGGUUCAAAAGUGAAAGACGGUCUUGCUGUCACUUAUAGAAGGAUCCGCGCUGCAUUAGCUAGUUGGUAAGGUAACGGCUUACCAAGGCAACGAUGCAUAGCCGACCUGAGAGGGUGAUCGGCCACACUGGAACUGAGACACGGUCCAGACUCCUACGGGAGGCAGCAGUAGGGAAUCUUCCGCAAUGGGCGAAAGCCUGACGGAGCAACGCCGCGUGAGUGAUGAAGGUCUUCGGAUCGUAAAACUCUGUUAUUAGGGAAGAACAUAUGUGUAAGUAACUGUGCACAUCUUGACGGUACCUAAUCAGAAAGCCACGGCUAACUACGUG
rnacentral:rRNA from 1 species